AUGAACGCUAGCUACAGGCUUAACACAUGCAAGUCGAGGGGAAACGGCAUCGAAAGCUUGCUUUUGAUGGGCGUCGACCGGCGCACGGGUGAGUAACGCGUAUCCAACCUGCCCAUCACUUGGGAAUAACCUUGCGAAAGUAAGACUAAUACCCAAUGACAUCCCACGAAGACAUCUGAAUGGGAUUAAAGAUUUAUCGGUGAUGGAUGGGGAUGCGUCUGAUUAGCUUGUUGGCGGGGUAACGGCCCACCAAGGCAACGAUCAGUAGGGGUUCUGAGAGGAAGGUCCCCCACAUUGGAACUGAGACACGGUCCAAACUCCUACGGGAGGCAGCAGUGAGGAAUAUUGGUCAAUGGGCGAGAGCCUGAACCAGCCAAGUAGCGUGCAGGAUGACGGCCCUAUGGGUUGUAAACUGCUUUUAUAAGGGAAUAAAGUGGGUCUCGUGAGACUUUUUGCAUGUACCUUAUGAAUAAGGACCGGCUAAUUCCGUG
rnacentral:rRNA from 1 species